rnacentral:rRNA from 1 species
UACAGAGGCCUCGAGCGUUAGGCGGAAUCACUGGGCUUAAAGCGUGUGUAGGUGGAUGCCUAAGUACCUUGUGAAAUCCCAUGGCUUAACCAUGGAAUUGCUUGGUAUACUGGGUGUCUUGAGCCACUCAGGGGCGAGCGGAACAAACGGUGGAGCGGUGAAAUGCGUAGAUAUCGGAAGGAACAUCAGUGGCGAAAGCGACUUCCUGGACCAAUACUGACGCUCAUGUGCGAAAGCGUGGGGAGCAAACAGG